rnacentral:rRNA from 1 species
GACAGAGGGUGCAAACGUUGUUCGGAAUUACUGGGCGUAAAGCGCGUGUAGGCGGCUAAGCAAGUCGGGCGUGAAAUCCCACCGCUCAACGGUGGAAGUGCACCCGAAACUGCAUAGCUAGAGUCCUGGAGAGGAAGGUGGAAUGCUUGGUGUAGAGGUGAAAUUCGUAGAUAUCAAGCGGAACACCGGUGGCGAAGGCGGGUCUCUGGGCCGAUACUGACGCUGAGGAGCGAAAGCGUGGGGAGCGAACAGG